AACGCAAGUUGCGCCAGAUUGUGAGAUUUGGCAUGUUUGUAUGAGGGUUGUGAACCAUGAAAAUGAAAUGAAGUUAUUUCAAUUUGAAAAAAGAGAAAUUGCUUUGAAGUUCUAUAAGAGAAAGAAAGUUUGAAAGAAAGAAUGAAAAAAAGGGUAUGAUGUUUUUUUGAAAGAGAAAAGCAUGACCAAUUUCGGCUGCAAAGCUGAUUUUAAUCAUCAUGUUUUUUUCAAUCAAAGAAUCCAUACUUUUUUAUUCUUUUAUUUUUAUAACCUCAUAUCAAGUAAGAAUACCCGCUGAACUUAA
rnacentral:misc_RNA from 1 species